rnacentral:rRNA from 1 species
GAUGAACGCUGGCGGCGUGCCUAAUACAUGCAAGUCGAGCGAACAGACGAGGAGCUUGCUCCUCUGACGUUAGCGGCGGACGGGUGAGUAACACGUGGAUAACCUACCUAUAAGACUGGGAUAACUUCGGGAAACCGGAGCUAAUACCGGAUAAUAUAUUGAACCGCAUGGUUCAAUAGUGAAAGACGGUUUUGCUGUCACUUAUAGAUGGAUCCGCGCCGCAUUAGCUAGUUGGUAAGGUAAUGGCUUACCAAGGCAGCGAUGCGUAGCCGACCUGAGAGGGUAAUCGGCCACACUGGAACUGAGACACGGUCCAGACUCCUACGGGAGGCAGCAGUAGGGAAUCUUCCGCAAUGGGCGAAAGCCUGACGGAGCAACGCCGCGUGAGUGAUGAAGGUCUUCGGAUCGUAAAACUCUGUUAUUAGGGAAGAACAAAUGUGUAAGUAACUAUGCACGUCUUGACGGUACCUAAUCAGAAAGCCACGGCUAACUACGUG